CCUGCUUCUGCGUCGACUACCGGAAACUUAAUGAUAAAACAAUUUCAGAUGCCUAUCCCAUGCCCAGAAUCGAUGAGCUCUUAGAUAAAAUGGCCAGGGGCCAGUACCUCACCACAACAGACUUGUGCAAAGGGUACUGGCAGAUCCCACUAGCCGAGGAUGCCAUCCCAAAGUCCGCAUUCGUCACCCCGUUUGGGCUAUACCAAUUCAAGGUGAUGCCAUUCGGGAUGAAGAAUGCGCCGGCUACGUUUCAGCGGAUGGUGGACCGGUUACUGGACGGAUCCCAGGAGUAUGCUUGCGCCUAUUUAGAUGACACAGCAAUAUUUAGCAAUUCCUGGGACGAGCACUUGACCCAUAUAGGAGCCAUCCUCGACCGCAUCAGGGAGGCAGUUCUCACGUUAAAACCCAGCAAGUGCCACGUAGGGAUGGCCGAAGU